GCAACGCGAAGAACCUUACCUGGUCUUGACAUCCACAGAAGAAUCCAGAGAUGGAUUUGUGCCUUCGGGAACUGUGAGACAGGUGCUGCAUGGCUGUCGUCAGCUCGUGUUGUGAAAUGUUGGGUUAAGUCCCGCAACGAGCGCAACCCUUAUCCUUUGUUGCCAGCGGUCCGGCCGGGAACUCAAAGGAGACUGCCAGUGAUAAACUGGAGGAAGGUGGGGAUGACGUCAAGUCAUCAUGGCCCUUACGACCAGGGCUACACACGUGCUACAAUGGCGCAUACAAAGAGAAGCGACCUCGCGAGAGCAAGCGGACCUCAUAAAGUGCGUCGUAGUCCGGAUUGGAGUCUGCAACUCGACUCCAUGAAGUCGGAAUCGCUAGUAAUCGUGGAUCAGAAUGCCACGGUGAAUACGUUCCCGGGCCUUGUACACACCGCCCGUCACACCAUGGGAGUGGGUUGCAAAAGAAGUAGGUAGCUUAACCUUCGGGAGGGCGCUUACCACUUUGUGAUUCAUGACUGGGGUGAAGUCGUAACAAGGUAACCGUAGGGGAACCUGC
rnacentral:rRNA from 2 species